AUCAACUUCCUCUCUAUCAAAGAGGGAUAUAAUUUUGCAUAUGUCAUCGGAAUAGGAUCGAAGGUGACCCUUUUCCUCUCGUAACUUGUGCUGGUUUGAUUACUGUUUCGAGGCUGGUAGGCCUGCUGAUGAGGACGGUGUUGUUGUUAUUGAUAUUGCGGAUGUGGUUGUUGCUGAUUAUUGUUGUGUUGCUGAUAUUGCUG
rnacentral:lncRNA from 1 species